rnacentral:rRNA from 1 species
AUGAACGCUGGCGGCGUGCCUAAUACAUGCAAGUCGAGCGAACAGACGAGGAGCUUGCUCCUCUGACGUUAGCGGCGGACGGGUGAGUAACACGUGGAUAACCUACCUAUAAGACUGGGAUAACUUCGGGAAACCGGAGCUAAUACCGGAUAAUAUAUUGAACCGCAUGGUUCAAUAGUGAAAGACGGUUUUGCUGUCACUUAUAGAUGGAUCCGCGCCGCAUUAGCUAGUUGGUAAGGUAACGGCUUACCAAGGCAACGAUGCGUAGCCGACCUGAGAGGGUGAUCGGCCACACUGGAACUGAGACUCGGUCCAGACUCCUACGGGAGGCAGCAGUAGGGAAUCUUCCGCAAUGGGCGAAAGCUUGACGGAGCAACGCCGCGUGAGUGAUGAAGGUCUUCGGAUCGUAAAACUCUGUUAUUAGGGAAGAACAAAUGUGUAAGUAACUAUGCACGUCUUGACGGUACCUAAUCAGAAAGCCACGGCUAACUACGUG